UCCUGAGUAGCUCAAUGGUAGAGCAUCCGGCUGUUAACCGGAGGGUUGUAGGUUCGAAUCCUACCUCAGGAG
rnacentral:tRNA from 1 species